AGCAGGUCAGAUGAGACCCCUCCUAGAAACAGAUCCCUUGAUGUACCACAAGCCUUUGAGAAAAUGAUGUGAAUAAGGAAAUGGGAUACAUGGUGGCUGGUGACUAACUUUCAGAUGGUCAGUGAGAAGACUUUUCACAGGAGUAUGCCUCUAUUUUUAUAAAACUGUAGAAAAUUCUUCUGGAAAUCCUUAAGAGAUUUAUCUGCAUCUCAAAAGGCACAAAUCAUUGUUUGCAAUGAGAAAAUGCUGGCAAAACUUCAUGGAACAUGAUACACAGAAACGGAGGCUGUGUGUUUGACUGAGUUAUAUUUUACAGGGCUGUGGUUUAGAUUACUCUAAUUCAAUGAUGAGUGUAGCAGUUUCAUCCCCGAUAUCACAAGAACUGGAUGCCAUGGCUACAGAUGCUUCCCCUAUGGUUUCUACUAUAACUCCAAUUGUAGAACAUGAACAAGAAAUGAGAAAAGAAGCCCUUCACGGUCAGCGUUAUGAGAAACCUCCACCUCUUCAUACUGGAGCAGACUGGAAAGUUGUAUUACACUUGCCAGAAAUUGAGACAUGGCUGCGAAUGACAUCAGAGCGAGUUCGAGAUCUGACAUACUCAGUGCAACAAGAUACAGAAAAUAAGCAUGUUGAUGUUCACUUGGUGCAACUAAAGGAUAUUUGUGAAGAUAUUUCAGACCAUGUGGAACAGAUUCACGCUUUGCUGGAGACCGAGUUUUCUUUGAAGCUCCUGUCUUACUCUGUCAAUGUAAUAGUGGACAUCCAUACUGUUCAACUACUCUGGCAUCAGUUAAGGGUCUCAGUUUUAGUGCUACGGGAACGUAUCCUUCAGGGACUACAGGAUACAAACGGAAAUUAUACGAGACAGACUGACAUCCUUCAAGCCUUCUCAGAGCACAGAAAAGAGGAUCGGCUUGAUGCCCUUACUGAAGUGGAUGACUCAGGACAACUGAUUAUCAAAUGCUCCCAGGAUUACUUUUCUUUAGACUGUGGAAUCACUGCAUUUGAACUGUCUGACUAUAGCCCAAGUGAGGACUUACCUGCUCAGGUUGAAAUCAUGACAUCCAGUCAAGUUAAGAGAAAGUCAAUUGAAACCUCAAAUGAUAGUGGUUUGGGAAAAGACCUUCUUGAGACUGUUGAAAACGCAGAUUUGCUUACUGUGGCAAAUGAUCCUGUGGCUACUAAGGUGGACAAACUUGAUGUACCUGAAAUAGAUCUUCCAUCUCGGGAAGAAAGACAGGGCACUAACACAUCAUCCCAAGUGACUAAACACCUUGUAUUUCCUUCAGCGAAAUCGAAAGGGAAUGGAAUGUCUAGUGAAAAUAUAUCACUUCCAAACAAUGAUGUAGUCAUUGACAAUGAACAUUGUUUUAACUUGGGAAAAAAGAACUCUAGCAAUAGUCGAGUGCAUCAUUUUAGUAAAAAUAAUAUACAACAAAAUCAGACUGAAAACACAACACCCAAAAGACCACUUACAGACUGCACUAAUUAUAAUGAACAAUCUCCAACACAGCCUUCUUUACCCAAAAAAGGCUUAUUCCUUGAAGAAUUGUCUAAAGAUGACAUGGAAACAAAUUCCUUUAAAACAAAGUGGGCUUCCUUCCCAUGUAAGACUGAAAUAAGCAGAAGCACUCCUUCAUUGCUAGAGCUUCCUGAUAGAUCUAAACUUUGGCUAGAUUUGGCUUCUUCAUACUCCGCUAAAGAUGCUCCUGCCGUGAGCCAGUCAUACGAGUGCUUAAAUAAAAUGGAUGAAAAGCAUAUUAAAUGUCUCACCAGAUGUUCCUCUUUGAAGAGAAUAUUAAAUCUAGGAAUCUCCAAUAACUUACAUGAAAAGCACCACAGACUGCAGCCAAAUGAACACUCUGAAGCAGAAUCCUGUACAUCUUCUAGGGGUAUGUUUAGUCCAAGUCAGGCAAAAAACAGUAAAAAUGAAAAUGUUUCAACCUACAAAAAACAAAGCCUUUCCCAUGCAGCUUCAAACAGAUCACUAGAUGAGCAGGGCAUUGAUAAUAUCCCUUACAGUCCAAUGUCGAUACAACAUAAUAAAGCAAAAAGCAUAUCCACUGUAUCUGUAUGCAAGCCACUGUUGCAGGCAUCCCAUUCCACCUUUCAAAGUAGUCUGUCUCCAAAUGGGCACAGUAUUCUGAUAUCCUCUUCACUUCCAAAACAGAACUGGAAAACGCAAGGAUCAUCACUAAGCCAUGUCCACAGCAAUGGAAGACAUUUGGAAGUGUGGUAUGGAUCUGACGAGUAUUUGGCACUUCCUUCACACCUUAAAGAAACGGAAAUAUUAGCCUUGAAACUGGAAAAUCUGACAAAAGAACUUCCCCAGAAAUCUACAGAAGGACAAUUUCAAGACAUCGAUGAUUGGGAGCUUUCCGAAAUGAAUUCAGAAUGUGAGAGCUAUCACUCGUUUCAAAUACGAAAGAAAUUUGGCAGAUCAGGAAACACUUCUCCCACCUCAUCAAGUGAUAUAGCCCCGUCACUCGAUGAUAGCGUUGAAUCAGGGACAGCUAACGAUCUUCUUUCUGAUGAGGAGCUUCCUAUUCAUGACAUGCUUGCUACCAAAUGUCAAAAACAAGAAUUGCAAAAGAGACUUGGCAAUCUUCCAUCUGGUUCAGUAGACAAAGACAAACCUACUUUGAGUAAAUCGGAAUUUAUUCAACAGUUGUUACAAGAUAUUCAGCAUCAGGAUAAUUAUAAAGACAUUUGGGAAAAGAUUGAGGGCUUUGUCAAGAAGCUGGAUGAAUUGAUCGGCUGGUUGUAUGAAGCAAUGGGAACAACAGAGAACUGGACUCCUCCCAAAGCUGACACGGACAGCCUCAGACUUUACCUAGAAACACAUUUGAGUUUUAAACUGAAUGUUGACAGCCAUUGUGCACUGAAGGAUGCUGUCAUAGAGGAGGGACGGCAGCUUUUGGAACUGAUUGAAUCUCACGAAACAGGACUGAAGGACACAUUGCAGAUGAUUUCUAGUCAAUGGAAAGAAAUACAAAGGCAAAUCAAACGGCAACACAGCUGGAUUCUGCGAGCUCUGGACAACAUCAAAGCUGAGAUCCUUUCCACUGAUGUGUCUGCUGAGGAUGAGGAAGGGACUGCAAGCCCUAAGGGUGAAGUCCAUCUCUGCCAUUUGGAAGCAAAGCGCGAUGCCGUUGAACAGAUGUCCUUGAAGCUCUACAGUGACUUAUACUCUAGCAGCAACAAGCGGCAACAGGAGUUUGCAGAAAUGUCCAAGGCCAACAGAACAGAGAAUGCUGGAUGGGGGUUUUGGAAUGCUGCUUCUAUAAUUUGGAAUAGCCUUUUGGACUUUGAUUCUGAAUAUCAGGAGCUGUGGGAUUGGCUGAUUGACAUGGAAUCCAUAGUGAUAGACAGUCAUGACCUGAUGAUGUCAGAAGAGCAGCAGAGGCAUCUUUACAAGGGGUACAGAGUGGAAAUGUCAAUGUGGCAACCAAAAAAGGAGGAGCUCCUUAAGAAAGUUGAACAACUGAAAGAAGCCGGAACAUCUCUGCCAGCCAGUCUUCUAGACAAAGUGGAGUCAGUAACUGAAAAAUGGAAAUUACUGGAGAAAACUCUUGGAGAAAAGAUCCAAAGUUCAGUGGCAGGGCAGAGCAGGAUGGCAUCACGUGACCUUCUGUCACCUGUGAGCAAUGGUCUGGUGAGGAAGCUGGAACUCAGGAUCAAAGAGUUGAAAGGGUGGCUGAGGGACACUGAGCUUUUCAUCUUCAACUCAUGCCUACGACAAGAGAAGGAAGGGACAAUGGAUGCUCCGAAACAGCUGCAGUACUUUAAGUCUCUGUGUAGUGAAGUCAAACAGCGUCGCCGUGGUAUUGCCUCUGUUUUACGUCUUUGCCAACGUCUCCUUGAUGAUCAAGAAACCUGCAAUUUAGAUGAAGAUCGUCAGUCUUUGCAGCUCAUCAUUGUGAACUUGGAAAGAAGGUGGGAAGCUAUUGUUAUGCAGGCAGUCCAGUGGCAGGCCAGACUACAGAAACACUUAGGACAAAAACAGGACGACCUGAAUAUUAUUGAGCCCGCAUUCAUGGAUCUGAAUGGCUCAGGAGAUGAUGCAUUAGAAUGGGAUGAAACAGACAUAAAUAAUCAUUUAAUCAGUGUGGAUGAAGAGGAUUCCUGUGAUUUUGUCCAAGACCAGACUUUGAACACGGGGUCUUCAUUAGAAUCAUCUGAACAUCCUGAUGGUAAUGUGGCACUGGAGAAUCAGUCUGCAUCUCAUGGAAGCUGCCCUUAUAUUUCUAACAGUGCAGCUGCCUUUUCUAAUCCACGUGUUUAUCAGGUGUACAGCUUGCAUAAAGUCGAAUUAUAUGAUAAUAACCGCAUACCCUUUCUUACAAACAUUAUGGACCUCCAUACUGUAAAACCGUCAAAUAAUACCCAGAAAAGAACAAAUAAAGAUUCAUCAUUUUCUUCCACAGAAUCCUUACAAAAACUGCAGUCAGAUAUUAGCUCAUUCAGAACUGGGGACUGCGUAUACCAUGGCGAUGCAAGGAAAGGCAGUGGAAGUGAAAGUGGAAUAGCCAGUGAGGGUGACACUGAACUCGUAACAAAUUCUGAGGACACCUUCAUUCAUACUACCAUUGCAUCACAGAACACUCUUACCUGUAAACCUUUACAACUCCAGACACCUGUUGCAAACAAAGAUAACUUAAUCUUCAAAAACAUUUGGAAUGGAACUGAAAAUCCUGCAUCUUCAGAAAUUAUGCCAAAGAGCUUUGGAUCGUGUAUCAGUAAAAAAGAUACUGGCUUCAUGAGUGGUCAAGAACCUGUGUCAGAUUAUUUCUUAGAUAGUCUACAUGGUAAACAAAAUAAGUUUACAUUUUGUGACUAUUCUUACCUUCAGGGGUCUGAUGACAAAUUGCCAGAGAUAAGCAAACACUUGCUCACAAAUCAGGUCUUUAAAAAUAAUACUAAGUCUAACAUUUAUUUCCCGCCUGCCUUAGUAAAAAAUCAAAAUGAGCUCUCAAUAUCUGAAACAUGCCUUCCUGAAGAUGCAAAUUAUAACUUGAGUAAGACAUGUAAUGAGAUUCAUGACUUUAGCACACAGAAAUGCAAGGAAAUUAAUAAUGGGAAACAGAAUGAAAAACAAUUUAUAUCCCUAUCUCACAGCUCAUCUGUUGAGUCAUUGUUACAAGCUGGUGAUGUACUUGGCAAUGGCCUUUCUAAAAGUGGAGAUUUUCUCCAGCGUAGCGCUUCAUUAGAGAGCUGGUUAACAUCAUACAAAAGCAAUGAAGAGCUGUAUAGUCAACAUGGAUCAGAUGAUAUAAGCAUUGGUAGUGAUUCAGUUGGAGAACUUAGCAAAAGGACACUUGAUCUCUUACAGCGUUUGGAGAACAUUCAUGAUCCAUUAAGUCCAAACAUAAAGCGAAGUGUCUCUGACAUGACACUUCAGAGCAGCUCCCAGAAGAUGGCUUUGACUGGUCAGAUGUCAUUGGAUAUUGCAUCAUCAAUAAAUGAAGACUCAGCUGCUUCACUUACUGAAUUCAGCAGCAGCGAGGAACUGUCAGUUUGUUCUGAAGAUAUUGUGGUACAAAAGAAUAGAAUUCCAAAUUCCAAUGUAUCCUUUAGGAAGCAUUUGAAUCGAUCAGUAGUAGAUGAGACUGACGUUAACAUUAGCAUGAUCGUUAAUGUUUCUUGCACUUCAGCAUGCACUGAUGAUGAAGACGACAGUGAUUUACUGUCCAGUUCCACACUUACUUUAACUGAAGAAGAACUUUGCCUUCAUGAUGAUGAUGAUGAUGAUGACUCAAGUAUUGUUACAGAUGAUGAUAUUUAUGAAGAAUGCAAUUCACUUUGGGGAACUGAUUAUAUAAAGAAUGAAUUACAGUCCUGGAUUAAGCCCAAACUGGUGGUCAGCAAAGAAGAAAGAAACAUACAGAGUACUUUAGCUGAGUUCAGUGAUACCUUAUCAGUUCUGGCAGAAUCCACAAAUAAAACUACAACUAAAGCCAGUCCAAAACAAGUGGAAACUAAUGGAAAUAAUAAGAAAGAAUCAAAUGGUCAAAUCAUGUUGAAUGUGAAAACAAUUUCUAAAGAGAGUGCACGUGCUGAUUCAGACCGGUUUGUAGAUGACAUGGAGAAUGGCAAUAUUGAAAAGUCUCCUGAAAGGCAUAAAAGUAAACUUAUUCAUAAAUAUGAGAGCCCUGGGUACUUUUCUUUAAACAGUAGCAAAGUUUUAGAAGCCACUAAUUACAAAUCUAAUAUGUUCCUUUGUAAUUCUGCAAAUAAAGAUUCCAAGGCAUGUGAUAUAAGUUGUUCACCAUCAUCAGAACUACCAAUAGGCUCAGAAGGAGACACUCAAAAGGUUCAUUUGAUGGAUAACUCCAAAGGAACUCCAUUUUGUCAUUCUGCUAAAAAAAACCUUCCAAUGCCAGUUUCUCAAAAUGUUAGCAGUGUUGAUGCCAAGGCUGUUGGCUUUCAAAAUACAUCAUAUGAUAGUAAAAAUAGUGAAAACAUCCUAAAUGAGGCAUCACUGGGAGAUAGUGGUUCAGUGUACAGUACUCCUUGUAAUGUAACUGAAAAUGGCAUUUGUUGUUGCAGUAGUUAUUGUCAUGGUAACGGAGAGAACAUAACUGAAGAAGAGAGUUCAGUGCACAGCUUUGUAAAGGAGAUAAUUGGGAUGGCGUCAACAGCAUUAAGAAGUAAAUCUAAUGCAGAAUGUGAGACAGAGAGUGUCACUUCUGUUACCCAAAUUAGGGAAAAGGUUUUAGAACAUUCUCAUAGACCUAUACAGUUAAGGAAAGGAGAUUUUUACUCAUAUCUUUCUUUAUCCUCUCAUGACAGUGACUGCGGUGAAGUGAGCAGUUUUGAGGAGGCAAACACAAGUACUCCAGUACCAACAGAGGCUGAGGAUGACCCUGACUCGGACGUAAAGAAAGACAAUGAACUUGUUUUUGAGGCUUGCAAAGAAGAUGAAGAUUGUUUUGACCCUUUGCUCGACACAUACACUUCUAGUUCAGACAGCACCCUUAUAUCAUCCAGCAGUUCUGCCUAUUUAGUUAAACAAGCAGAUCAUUCUGAAAGUCUUAAUUUGUCUGUUUUUAGUGGAAAUGUGGACACAUGUGUGCCAAAGAGUGAUUGUUUUCAUAACCAAAACCAAACCUCUGUUCUGGACAGUGCCUGUAAAGUACAUUUGCCAACAGAGUGCCAAAGUGAAAAUGCUGAUGUUAAAACAUUACCACUUCCUACUACGAAACACUCUAAUGAUAAAACAAAACUAACAAAAAAUACUUUGGCUCCCUUAAAGAGUGUCAUCACAGAUUUACACUUACACCCCAAGCCUAUACAUGAAAUCUGUAUCAUGCAACAUAUUACCAAAUUAAAUGUGUCAGAAAAAAAGCCUUUUGAUAAUCACAGAAACUUCCACGUCUGGCAUGAUGUGAAGCCAAAAUAUGCAAAGCAAAACAACGGUCAUCCUCAUAAAGCAGAUUCAUCUGAGGAACAGGUCUCUGAUGUUGAACAUAGGAAAUUAUUCAAGUAGACCACCCAAAAUCAUGUUUGUGUACUCCAGGAAGAAGCUGUGCAUUCACAGCAGCGUUGGUUUGAUGGCAUAAAAUGCACCUGCUGUACAUAGGUUCGAGUUCAUAGAAACCUGCUUGCAGUUCAGCACCGCAAUUACCUUCUGCUCAGUGAUCAAUUCUGCGACCCACACCACCAUGAAUCAUUGCCCAGGUUAAGUUUUCUUGUGCGCACAAGACCACCUCCUCCACUUAUGAGCUGCUCAUUCCUAUAUGGUGCUUUGGUUGCGUCAUUCAUCAUGGUUACGUACACUGCAGCUGUUUGGUAUAAGCAGCACGUUUGAACUUCUGCACUGAGCUACCUCCAAGGACUCCUCAAUCCUGGCUGUCACUGUCUGCACACCUUUUCUUGGCAGUUAAAUAUGUUGCAUAUUGAACUAUAUCUGAAUACCUAGUGGGGUUUCAAAGUUUUUGAUCAUUUUAGAACUGUUUCCUUCAGUGUUGCAUAAUACAUAAAGAUAAAUGUUUUAAUGUGAAAUAAGUCAGUUUGCUGAAGCUGCUUUACUUUUACAAACAGUCAUAUACUUUAAUAAGUUUAUUGUAAUUAAUGACACCUCACAUUCAAAACUGAUCAGUAUGAACAUAGUCCUUCAUUUGCAUUAUACAAGAAUUAAAUCUAUGCAACACUUUAAGAAAAAUACUGAUGCAGUGUUGUAUAAUAAUCCUUCACAUUCUUCUGGUUUGGAAAUAUUUUUAGUUUGUUUUUAAAUGCUAAAGACAAUAUUGAAAAUGAUAAAAAUGUGUGCCUUGCUUUAUUUCUUAUACUAUUUAUUAAAAAGCUGCUUUCCCAAUUGAUAACAUGUAAAGUCAGGAAAUAGCAAGGUGAAAACGCGUGCAUACUUUUUUGUAUAUAUGUACAAGCAAGUGCAAACCUCGAUGUGUAAUAUUAGUAUAAAAUGCUUUCAUGUCUGUGUUGUUUAGUGAUGUGGAAAAUACUAAGCCUUAAAUCUGUUAGUCUGCAUGGUAACACAGAUUGGCAUAAUAAACAGAAUUUAUUGAAAAUGAAAGAUUCAGGAAUGUAUUUACAAGACAAUGGCAUCAUAUCUUAGUAAAACUCACAAUUUAAUACUUA